UACGAAGGGGGCUAGCGUUGUUCGGAAUUACUGGGCGUAAAGGGCGCGCAGGCGGCUCUUCAAGUCAGAUGUGAAAGCCCCGGGCUCAACCUGGGAACUGCAUUUGAGACUGGAGAGCUUGGGUUCGGGAGAGGAUGGUGGAAUUCCCAGUGUAGAGGUGAAAUUCGUAGAUAUUGGGAAGAACACCGGUGGCGAAGGCGGCCAUCUGGACCGAUACUGACGCUGAGGCGCGAAAGCGUGGGGAGCAAACAGG
rnacentral:rRNA from 1 species